UAAAAACCCCGACUUCGGAAGGGGUGUAUUUAUUAGAUACAAAACCAAUGCCCUUCGGGGCUCUUUGGUGAUUCAUGAUAACUAUACGGAUCGCACGGCCUUGCGCCGGCGAUGGUUCAUUCAAAUUUCUUCCCUAUCAACUUUCGAUGUUUGGGUAUUGGCCAAACAUGGUUGCAACGGGUAACGGAGGGUUAGGGCUCGACCCCGGAGAAGGAGCCUGAGAAACGGCUACUACAUCCAAGGAAGGCAGCAGGCGCGCAAAUUACCCAAUCCCGACUCGGGGAGGUAGUGACAAUAAAUACUGAUACAGGGCCCUUUCGGGCCUUGUAAUUGGAAUGAGUACAAUUUAAAUCCCUUAACGAGGAACAAUUGGAGGGCAAGUCUGGUGCCAGCAGCCGCGGUAAUUCCAGCUCCAAUAGCGUAUAUUAAAGUUGUUGUGGUUAAAAAGCUCGUAGUUGAACCUUGGGCCUGGCUGGCCGGUCCGCCUCACCGCGUGCACUGGUCCGGCCGGGCCUUUCCCUCUGUGGAACCCCAUACCCUUCACUGGGCGUGGCGGGGAAACAGGACAUUUACUUU
rnacentral:rRNA from 1 species